rnacentral:tRNA from 1 species
UGGCUCAGACGGUAAAGCGUCUGUCUGCAAUGUAGGAGACCCAGGUUCAAUCCCUGG